CCUAUCGAAUUCUAUAGCUCUAUUCAUUGGCACACCAGUUGAUCAAUUUUGAGCUUUCAUAUCUACUUUGGACACCAGAUGGCACAUCAACAUUAUGUACCUGAAGCGAUCGCUACAGAAGGAAGGCCUAGCACGCGAUAACGGCGCCAUGAGGAUUCUCUGCCGUGAGGAGUACCCCGACCCGUAUGAUGGCCACCGGAAGGUCACACACUUCUUUGGCUCGCUCCGACUGGCUCCAUUGACGACUUCUCUAACGUGUAUUUGUUGGGUUCCUCUUGGCGUGUCGAACAAAAAUUGGCGUUCAGCACUGCUAUUUAAAGAUGGUUUGAUCAGUACUACAGAAAACCCAUAGAUUAUUGUAGGUAUCUAAGAAUGAUGAUGAUUACACUCGGAGCAAGCCUUGUUGCGGCGCUGCAAGUGUUGCCCUCCUCCUCCCCAAGGGCAAGGUGAAGGAAGGUGCCUGUGUGGUUCUUCUGCAGCUCGUAGCGAGGAUUGCUGUGUCCAACCUGCACAAGAAUGCCAAGAAGUCCUUCUCGGAGACGUAAGCCAUGGCGCAUGUUUCUGCCAUGAUUUCCUUUGGUUGGAUUUCGUGGAUUUAGGUGUUGAAAAAUUAUGGGCUGUGGAUGCAGGAUUAAGGACAUGUACCUGCACUACAACGAGAGAUCUGGGCUGCUUCUUUGUGGCUUCCAAACUUGAAAUGUCUGUUUGGAAGUUAGUUUAGUUUUUUGUUGUGGAUUCACAGCUUCUCACAUGUACCAUCCUCUUAGACCUUUAGAUUUCCAAAGAAACUAAAUGAAGAUAUGGUGGUAU